rnacentral:rRNA from 1 species
UACGUAGGGGGCAAGCGUUGUCCGGAUUUAUUGGGCGUAAAGAGCGUGUAGGCGGCCUGAAAGGUCAGCUGUGAAAACUCGAGGCUCAACCUCGAGACGUCGGUUGAAACCAUCUGGCUAGAGUCCGGAAGAGGAGAGUGGAAUUCCCGGUGUAGCGGUGAAAUGCGCAGAUAUCGGGAAGAACACCCGUGGCGAAGGCGGCUCUCUGGGACGGUACUGACGCUGAGACGCGAAAACGUGGGGAGCGAACAGG